CGGACGGGUGAGUAACGCGUGGGUAACCUGCCUCAUACAGGGGGAUAACAGUUAGAAAUGACUGCUAAUACCGCAUAAGCGCACAGUACCGCAUGGUACCGUGUGAAAAACUCUGGUGGUAUGAGAUGGACCCGCGUCUGAUUAGCUAGUUGGUGAGGUAACGGCCCACCAAGGCGACGAUCAGUAGCCGACCUGAGAGGGUGACCGGCCACAUUGGGACUGAGACACGGCCCAA
rnacentral:rRNA from 1 species